rnacentral:rRNA from 1 species
UGGCUCAGAUUGAACGCUGGCGGCAGGCCUAACACAUGCAAGUCGAGCGGCAGCACGGGUACUUGUACCUGGUGGCGAGCGGCGGACGGGUGAGUAAUGCCUAGGAAUCUGCCUGGUAGUGGGGGAUAACGUUCGGAAACGAACGCUAAUACCGCAUACGUCCUACGGGAGAAAGCAGGGGACCUUCGGGCCUUGCGCUAUCAGAUGAGCCUAGGUCGGAUUAGCUAGUUGGUGAGGUAAUGGCUCACCAAGGCGACGAUCCGUAACUGGUCUGAGAGGAUGAUCAGUCACACUGGAACUGAGACACGGUCCAGACUCCUACGGGAGGCAGCAGUGGGGAAUAUUGGACAAUGGGCGAAAGCCUGAUCCAGCCAUGCCGCGUGUGUGAAGAAGGUCUUCGGAUUGUAAAGCACUUUAAGUUGGGAGGAAGGGCAGUUACCUAAUACGUAAUUGUUUUGACGUUACCGACAGAAUAAGCACCGGCUAACUCUGUGCCAGCAGCCGCGGUAAUACAGAGGGUGCAAGCGUUAAUCGGAAUUACUGGGCGUAAAGCGCGCGUAGGUGGUUCGUUAAGUUGGAUGUGAAAUCCCCGGGCUCAACCUGGGAACUGCAUUCAAAACUGUCGAGCUAGAGUAUGGUAGAGGGUGGUGGAAUUUCCUGUGUAGCGGUGAAAUGCGUAGAUAUAGGAAGGAACACCAGUGGCGAAGGCGACCACCUGGACUGAUACUGACACUGAGU